rnacentral:rRNA from 1 species
AUUGAACGCUGGCGGCAGGCCUAACACAUGCAAGUCGAACGAGUGGCGGACGGGUGAGUAAUGUCUGGGAACCUGCCCGAUGUAGGGGGAUAACUACUGGAAACCGUAGCUACUACCGCAUACCAUCGGAUGUGCCCAGAUGGGAUUAGCUAGUAGGUGGGGUAACGGCUCACCGAGACGACGAUCCAUAGCUGGUCUGAGAGGAUGACCGGCCAAACUGGAACUGAGACACGGCCCAGACUCCUACGGGAGGCAGCAGUGGGGAAUAUUGGACAAUGGGCGAAAGCCGGAUGCAGCAAUGCCGCGUGUAUGAAGAAGGCUUUCGGGUUGUAAAGUACUUUCAGCGAGGAGGCGUUACUCGCAGAGGAAGCACCGGCUAACUCCGUGCCAGCAGCCGCGGUAAUAC